rnacentral:tRNA from 1 species
AUCAUGUUGGCCUAAUUGGCAAGGCGUCGUACUACGGAUACGUCGAAUGCAAGUUCGAGUCUUGUACGUGCUU